GACGAACGCUGGCGGCGUGCUUAACACAUGCAAGUCGAGCGAUGAAGCCGGAGCUUGCUCUGGUGAAUUAGUGGCGAACGGGUGAGUAACACGUGAGUAACCUGCCCUUGACUCUGGGAUAACUGCGGGAAACUGUAGCUAAUACCGGAUACGACCCUCGGAGGCAUCUCCUGGGGGUGGAAAGAAUUUCGGUCAAGGAUGGACUCGCGGCCUAUCAGCUAGGUGGUGAGGUAAAGGCUCACCAAGGCGACGACGGGUAGCCGGCCUGAGAGGGUGACCGGCCACACUGGGACUGAGACACGGCCCAGACUCCUACGGGAGGCAGCAGUGGGGAAUAUUGCACAAUGGGCGCAAGCCUGAUGCAGCAACGCCGCGUGAGGGAUGACGGCCUUCGGGUUGUAAACCUCUUUUAGCAGGGAAGAAGCGAAAGUGACGGUACCUGCAGAAAAAGCACCGGCUAACUACGUGCCAGCAGCCGCAGUAA
rnacentral:rRNA from 1 species